rnacentral:rRNA from 1 species
AUACGGAGGAUCCGAGCGUUAUCCGGAUUUAUUGGGUUUAAAGGGUGCGCAGGCGGCCAUUUAAGUCAGCGGUUAAAUCGUGGGGCUCAACCCCAUUCUGCCGUUGAUACUGGGUGGCUUGAUUGCGGUCGAGGUUGGCGGAAUUCGUUGUGUAGCGGUGAAAUGCAUAGAUAUGACGAAGAACACCGAUUGCGUAGGCAGCUGACCAGACCGCAAAUGACGCUCAUGCACGAAAGUGCGGGGAUCGAACAGGAUUAGAUACCCUGGUAGUCCGCACAGUAAACGAUGAAUACUUGUUUUCCGCGAUAUAAUGUCGGAGGGAAAGCGAAAGCGAUAAGUAUGCCACCUGGGGAGUACGCCGUCAACGGUGAAACUCAAAUGAAUUGACGGGG